AACCUAGCACACCUGCGGUGUGUACCUGCGGAAGGAUCAUUACACAAUAAACAUAUGAAGGCUGCACCGCCAACAGGCGGCAAGGCUGGAGUAUUUUAUUACCCUUGUCUUUUGCGCACUUGUUGUUUCCUGGGCGGGUUCGCCCGCCUCCAGGACCACAUGAUAAACCUUUUUUAUGCAGUUGCAAUCAGCGUCAGUACAACAAAUGUAAAUCAUUUACAACUUUUAACAAUGGAUCUC
rnacentral:misc_RNA from 1 species